UACGUAGGGUGCAAGCGUUGUCCGGAAUUAUUGGGCGUAAAGAGCUCGUAGGCGGUUUGUCGCGUCUGCUGUGAAAACCCGAGGCUCAACCUCGGGCCUGCAGUGGGUACGGGCAGACUAGAGUGCGGUAGGGGAGAUUGGAAUUCCUGGUGUAGCGGUGAAAUGCGCAGAUAUCAGGAAGGAACACCAAUGGCGAAGGCAGCUCUCGAGGGUACGGUACUGACGCUGAGACGCGAAAAGCGUGGGGGAGCGAACAGG
rnacentral:rRNA from 1 species